GACGAACGCUGGCGGCGUGCUUAACACAUGCAAGUCGAACGGUAAGGCCCUGCUUUUGUGGGUUGCUCGAGUGGCGAACGGGUGAGUAACACGUGAGUAACCUGCCCUUGACUUUUGGAUAACUUCCUGAAACUGGGGCUAAUACCGGAUAGGAGCUCCUGCUGCAUGGUGGUGGUUGUAAAGUUUCGGCGGUUGGGGAUGGACUCGCGGCUUAUCAGCUGGUUGUUGGGGUAGUGGCUUACCACGGCUUUGACGGGUAGCCGGCCUGAGAGGGUGACCGGCCAAAUUGGGACUGAGAUACGGCACAGAGUCGUAGGGGAGGCAGGAGUGGGGAAUAUAGCACAAUGGGCGGAAGCCGGAUGCAGGAACGCCGCGUGCGGGAUGAAGGCCUUCGGGGUGUAAACAGCUUGCGACAGUGACGAAGCGUGAGUGACGGUAAUGGGUAAAGAAGCAACGGCUAACUACGUG
rnacentral:rRNA from 1 species